CGUAGAGAAAUCGAGUCUUAAUAGGGCGUUUAGUUGCUGGGUAUAGACCCGAAACCAGGCGAUCUAUCCAUGAGCAGGUUGAAGGUUGGGUAACACUAACUGGAGGACCGAACCCACUGUCGUUGAAAAGCCAGGGGAUGACUUGUGGAUAGGGGUGAAAGGCUAAUCAAGCCUGGUGAUAGCUGGUUCUCCCCGAAAGCUAUUUAGGUAGCGCCUCGGACGAAUACCAUAGGGGGUAGAGCACUGUUUCGGCUAGGGGGUCAUCCCGACUUACCAAACCGAUGCAAACUCCGAAUACCUAUGAGUACUAUCCGGGAGACAGACUGCGGGUGCUAACGUCCGUAGUCAAGAGGAAAACAAUC
rnacentral:rRNA from 1 species